GUGGUCCUACGGGGGGCAGCAGUGGGGAAUAUUGCACAAUGGGGGGAACCCUGAUGCAGCGACGCCGCGUGAAGGAAGAAGUAUUUCGGUAUGGAAACUUCUAUCAGCAGGGAAGAAAAAGGACGGUACCUGACUAAGAAGCCCCGGCUAACUACGUGCCAGCAGCCGAGGUAAUACGUAGGGGGCGAGCGCUAUCCGGAUUUACUGGGUGUAAAGGGGGCGCAGACGGCCAUGGCAAGCCCGGUGUGAAUGGUGCGGGCACAACCCGCAGACUGCACUGGUAACUGCCUGGCUGGCGUGCCGGG
rnacentral:rRNA from 1 species